CUAGCGACUUCAGAGUUUGAUCCUGGCUCAGGAUGAACGCUGGCGGCGUGCAUAACACAUUCAAGUCGAACGGAGCAGCAAUGCUUAGUGGCGGACGGGUGAGUAACGCGUGAGCAACCUGCCCCUGUGUGGGGGAUGACGUUUGGAAACGAACGCUAAUACCGCAUAACGCAUCGGAAUCGCAUGUUUCUGAUACCAAAGAUUUAUUGCGCAAGGAUGGGCUCGCGUCUGAUUAGAUAGUUGGUGGGGUAACGGCCUACCAAGUCGACGAUCAGUAGCCGGACUGAGAGGUUGAACGGCCACAUUGGAACUGAGAAACGGUCCAG
rnacentral:rRNA from 1 species